rnacentral:lncRNA from 1 species
GGUGAGUUGAGGAACAAGAUCCAAGCAGUGGCGCGGCCUAAUUCCGGUGUAAUCAACGGCGACAAAAAUGGGUUGAGCUACGGGUUUUUCAAGCUUGAUCACCAGUGUUCUACCCAUUUUCCGGUGAGGUGGCCGGAAUCGGUGGCUGGAGUCGGGUCGAGUUGCGCGAGUUCGGGUCGGGUCGGUUCGGGUCAAACCUGGUCAGCUUCUCUCUUUCUC